CUGUCUUAGACACAAUCAGGGAAUGAAAAUUAUUUACAUAAUAAUAAUAUAAAAUUAUGGCAGACAGGUCUAAUCUUGUACUUCUCCUUCUAUGCCAUUUUGAUUUUUUCCAUUUCCUAGCAAAUAAUUGAGUGGCUGCUACCAAUAAUUACAUAAAUGUUUGAAAUGCUGUAUUUAUGAAUGUUUAGCAUUUAUCCACUAUAUCUGCAAAUAUGUUUUUACCUGAAACUGAUUGAGAUGUUUGCCAGAAGUAUGGAAUUGACUACUCUUCACUCCAAUGGAUACAAUAUAAGAUCACCCAUCUCACCCCUCUCAUCUUGGCCAAUAAGGCAGAUGGCUUGCCCAGUGCCAGUUUUUUGUAUGUUGGGAACUGUUAGCAUAGGAAUGCUGGUAUAGAAGCUGAUUAAGAUUUCCUUUACUCUGUCUUAAAUUUAAAUAACAUAAAUUAGCUAAUUUUUAGGGAUCUUUAGUACUCAGAUUAGAUAGCAUUCAGGGACUUAGCAUAAUAUUAAUUUUAAUUCAGGGGUUCUUAACCAGCAGUCCAUGGACUCCAAGUGGUCUGGAAAGAUUUCAGAGAGUUUGUGAGCUUGGAUGAGAAAAAUUCAACUCAUUAUCUUUAUUUUCACUGACUGCUAAUUAAAUCUAGCAUUUCCUUCUAUUAUAAAUAUAUGCAAUAAAUUAUAAUUACCGUAUAUUAGUUGUAUUUGUGAUCAAUAACAGUCUUCACACUGACAUGUC
rnacentral:lncRNA from 1 species